rnacentral:lncRNA from 1 species
CGCUGGGGUAGAUACAAGGUAAUCAGGAUGGACACACUCCCUGUCCCACAUAGGGCUCACAGUCUUAAUCCCCAUUUUACAGAUCAGGCAACUGAGGCACAGAAGUAACACAACAGACAAGUGGCAGAGCUGGAAUUAGAACACAGGUCCUUCUGAUUCCCAGGCCCAUGCUCUAUCCACUAGGGUAUGCUGCUUCUCCAGCACUUAUUGAGUGCUUACUGUAUGCAGAUCACUGUACUAAGCACUUGGGAAAGUACCAUUGAACAGAGUUGGUAGACACAUUUCCCGACCACAUAAACUUACAGUCUAGAGGGGUAGACAGACAUUAAUAUAAAUAAAUAAAUUAGGGAUAUGCGUGAAAGUACUGUGGGGCUGAGUGAUCAGAGAAUUUGCAAAUGAUCUGCUGUUCCUCCUGUGGCUUUUUAUCCAGAUCCAGAGAAGAAGGAAGUGACCCAAUCUGGCUGGUUUGGUGUUCAGGGUUCUGGUGGAGGUGGAACUGAAGUUAAAGGAAAAUUCAUUGGAAAUCGGAAACUUCUCGCAUUUCCAGCUGCCUGGGAACUACAUUUCCCAGAAACCUCUGGGAAUAAGAGCUAAUCGUCAACUUGGGCAGAGCAUGGAGACCUCGUGGGGAACCUUUCCGUGGUUUGAACAAUCGCCCGUGGUCGCAGUGAAUAGUGAUGCUCCAAUAAGGUGGCACCUGGGUAAAGCAGAAAUGACAAGGAUGAUGAUGGUGGCAAGCUGAAACUCCUCACCACUCAAUCGGUUUCCCUCUUUCCUACCUAGCCACUCUCUUCUCCCACCCACUACACCCAAGCUCACACACUUUGUUCCUCUCGAAAUUGCCUUCUUACUCAGCGUCAUUCUCAUCUCUAGUACAAGCUCUGUAGCCCUGGUCUGCUGUGUGACCCUGCAAGUUAUAAUAGUAAUAACAAUAAUAAUAAAAACAACAAAAAUGUCCAAACCUAAUAAUUAUGAUAUUUGUUAAGUGCUUACUAUGUACCGAGCACUGUUCUAAGCACUGAAUUAGUCACAAGGUAAUCAGGUUGACCCACGUGGAGCUCACAGUUUUAAUCCCCAUUUUACAGAUGAAUUAACUGAGGCACAGAGAAAUUAUGUGUCUUGCCCAAGGUCAUAGAGCAGACAAGUGGAGGAGCCGGGAUUAGAACUCAUGCCUUUUAACUCCUAAACCAGUGCACUUUCCACUAAGCCAAGCUGCUUCCCUGCUUCUGCUUCUCUGCUUCUUAUAGUGGAUGGGCAGGAAAGGAAUGGUCAGUUAGGUUGAUGUAAUAAUGCUGAAGGUUGGGGACCAGAAACACUGGUCAGGGCUUUCUACAGAACAGCAUCGGCCCUACUGUUCCAUGCAAGGGACAGUGCGGG